rnacentral:rRNA from 1 species
AGUUUGAUCAUGGCUCAGAACGAACGCUGGCGGCAUGCCUAACACAUGCAAGUCGAACGGGAUCCUAGCUUGCUAGGUGAGAGUGGCGGACGGGUGAGUAACACGUGGGAAUCUGCCUUUUGGUUCGGGAUAACCGCGGGAAACUGCGGCUAAUACCGAAUGCCCUCGAGAGAGGAAAGAUUUAUCGCCAGAAGAGGAGCCCGCGUCCGAUUAGGUAGUUGGUGGGGUAAAGGCCUACCAAGCCGACGAUCGGUGGCUGGUCUGAGAGGAUGAUCAGCCACACUGGGACUGAGAUACGGCCCAGACUCCUACGGGAGGCAGCAGUGGGGAAUAUUGGACAAUGGGGGCAACCCUGAUCCAGCAAUGCCGCGUGAGUGAUGAAGGCCUUAGGGUUGUAAAGCUCUUUUGUACGGGAAGAUAAUGACGGUACCGUAAGAAUAAGCCCCGGCUAACUUCGUG